rnacentral:rRNA from 1 species
UACGGAAGAUGCGAGCGUUAUCCGGAUUUAUUGGGUUUAAAGGGAGCGUAGGCGGGCUUUUAAGUCAGCGGUCAAAUGUCACGGCUCAACCGUGGCCAGCCGUUGAAACUGUAAGCCUUGAGUCUGCACAGGGCACAUGGAAUUCGUGGUGUAGCGGUGAAAUGCUUAGAUAUCACGAAGAACUCCGAUCGCGAAGGCAUUGUGCCGGGGCAUAACUGACGCUGAGGCUCGAAAGUGCGGGUAUCAAACAGG